rnacentral:lncRNA from 1 species
AUGCAGUGCCUCCAUUUCUUCAUCCAACUGAAGGGUGCACAAAGUCCAAGAGAGGACCACCUCUUACACUGUGACAUGCUGCUCUGCAAGGUCGUAUGUAUUGAACUCAGCAGCACUGUUGGAUGUUUUGGGGUCCUGGACAUGACCAGCUUUUCAAGAGGUGGAGGAGAUAACACCUUAAGCAGGGGAAGAACUAAAAUAACAGAAGAAGCAUCAAGAAAGCAGAUUCUACAAGUAAAAACCUGUAGGAGAUAUUCCUAAAGCUGUUCAACUUUUUGGUGCUGGAAGGUGAUCCUCUUAUUGCUCAAGACAGGUUUUCUUUUUCCUGUUGCCUUGAUACUGUUGUACUUAUUUACUCUAAAGAGGGACGAAAUUAAGAAUAUUAAAUCUUUGGGGAGACCAGCACAAAUCUGGCAAAAGACUGAAACGUAACUGCAAAAAAAUAUGUAACUGGAAAUGUUAGUGGUUAUAAACAGGUGUGUAGAGGAAGAUAGUCACAGAAGCUGAGACUAUAAAUGUUCUCCAUGGAAUAUGUCACCAUCCCCAGCUCUUGGCAUGCUGCAAAUUAAAAACACUCAUUAAAUGUUUCCUGAUUCGGACAUAGCACAAAAUUCUUCCUGUGGGAAAAUAGAGUGUAGGGCAAUUUGCUGUAAUCUGCUACAUCUACAGAUGUGUGGAAACUGUGUUAGAAAAGCCAUGGACCUUCUAAUUAUUUUUC